rnacentral:rRNA from 1 species
AACGAACGCUGGCGGCAUGCUUAACACAUGCAAGUCGAACGAGACCUUCGGGUCUAGUGGCGCACGGGUGCGUAACGCGUGGGAAUCUGCCCUUUGCUACGGAAUAACUCAGAGAAAUUUGUGCUAAUACCGUAUAAUGUCGUAAGACCAAAGAUUUAUCGGCAAAGGAUGAGCCCGCGUAAGAUUAGCUUGUUGGCGGGGUAAAGGCCUACCAAGGCGACGAUCUUUAGCUGGUCUGAGAGGAUGAUCAGCCACACUGGGACUGAGACACGGCCCAGACUCCGACGGGAGGCAGCAGUGGGGAAUAUUGGACAAUGGGCGAAAGCCUGAUCCAGCAAUGCCGCGUGAGUGAUGGAGGCCUUAGGGUUGUAAAGCUCUUUUACCAGGGAUGAUAAUGACAGUACCUGGAGAAUAAGCUCCGGCUAACUCCGUGCCAGCAGCCGCCGUAAAAC